rnacentral:tRNA from 1 species
GAGGGUAUAGCUCAGUGGUAGAGCACAUGCUUAGCAUGCCUGAGGUCCUGAGUUCAAGCCCCAGUAUUCCA